rnacentral:lncRNA from 1 species
GCACAAAAACAUUAACAGAUAAUAAAAACUUACAACAUUUCUGCAUAUUGACAUAAAAAAAAAAAAAGAGAAAAAGGAAGUUUGAAAUAAAAAGAGAUGAACUUAUUACAACCAGAAGAAGAUGACACAAGAUAAAGUUCAAAAAAGAUAGAAAGGAAGAAGUAAUUUUACAUCAUCUCAGGACCUUCUUACAUGUGAAGUUCGAAAAUUUUCACCAUUUAGCGAGGAGUGUUGAUCGCAUGUAACAGGCAGCUGUCCAUAGUAUUUUGUUCUGAGAACUCCCCGGUAACG